rnacentral:rRNA from 1 species
CCUACGGGAGGCAGCAGUGAGGAAUAUUGGUCAAUGGACGAGAGUCUGAACCAGCCAAGUAGCGUGAAGGAUGACUGCCCUAUGGGUUGUAAACUUCUUUUAUAUGGGAAUAAAAUGUUCCACGUGUGGGAUUUUGUAUGUACCAUAUGAAUAAGGAUCGGCUAACUCCGUUCCAGCAGCCGCGGUAAUACGGAGGAUCCGAGCGUUAUCCGGAUUUAUUGGGUUUAAAGGGAGCGUAGGUGGAUUGUUAAGUCAGUUGUGAAAGUGUGCGGCUCAAACGUAAAAUUGCAGUUGAAACUGGCAGUCUUGAGUACAGUAGAGGUGGGCGGAAUUCGUGGUGUAGCGGUGAAAUGCUUAGAUAGCACGAAGAACUCCGAUUGCGAAGGCAGUUCACUGGACUGCAACUGACACUGAGGCUCGAAAGUGUGGGUAUCAAACAGGAUUAGAUACCCGUGUAGUC